rnacentral:rRNA from 1 species
GAUGAACGCUGGCGGCGUGCCUAAUACAUGCAAGUCGAGCGAACGGACGAGAAGCUUGCUUCUCUGAUGUUAGCGGCGGACGGGUGAGUAACACGUGGAUAACCUACCUAUAAGACUGGGAUAACUUCGGGAAACCGUAGCUAAUACCGGAUAAUAUUUUGAACCGCAUGGUUCAAAAGUGAAAGACGGUCUUGCUGUCACUUAUAGAUGGAUCCGCGCUGCAUUAGCUAGUUGGUAAGGUAACGGCUUACCAAGGCAACGAUGCAUAGCCGACCUGAGAGGGGGAUCGGCCACACUGGAACUGAGACACGGUCCAGACUCCUACGGGAGGCAGCAGUGGGGAAUCUUCCGCAAUGGGCGAAAGCCUGACGGAGCAACGCCGCGUGAGUGAUGAAGGUCUUCGGAUCGUAAAACUCUGUUAUUAGGGAAGAACAUAUGUGUAAGUAACUGUGCACAUCUUGACGGUACCUAAUCAGAAAGCCACGGCUAACUACGUG